rnacentral:lncRNA from 1 species
AUUAUCAUAUAAAUAAAAUGUAACAAUGAUUAUUUUGUCAUGUUAGAAAAAAAAUAACAGUUUAUUUCAAAUUUUUACUUAUUUAAACAUUUUCAAUCGGUGACUGUGUAAACAUCUAGCAAUUUAGCAUGACUUUUCCAAAUUCUAUUUUUCUUAUGAACGUAAAAGUCAACCGGGUUGACCUGUGAGCAGCAAUAUCCAAGGGAGGUUAUAGAGCUAAAACGGGUGCUUAUUUCGAGUCUUCAGCUGACGUAACUGGCUUUAAAAUAGCUUGCAGGCAUCUCGCCUUU